GGGGACGUAGUGUAGUCAGGCAGCACGGCAGGCUCCAGACUUGCUGGUCAGGAGUUCAAAUCUCCUCGUCCCCA
rnacentral:tRNA from 1 species